ACUGCCCAAUGACCAACGCUUUGUCCAAUAUUAACAGAUUUGUGUGUUCACUAAAACAAGUAAGUCUAAAUUUAUAGAUGCAAAACAAGAGAGUAGUAGAUGCAACUUUGCAGAUACAGAACGUGCAUAGAUGACCAAUAUCAGUAUCAAGUAUCAACACAUCACGAAUAGCAGUGUGGGCUAGUUCAUGCUUGUUAUUCAGUAAGCAAGAAAGAGGGCCUGGACUUCCAUGGUAAUCAAGAGUUCUAUGGCAGUAAGGAAGAAUAGGCAAAUAUAUAUAGUCAGUAUAUAGAUGGAGGAUCUGUACAUUGCAGCAAGUAAAUUGGCAAGGAGAGUCGCGAUCCACUCACUGGUAACUCAUUUUACAUCAUUGAGCCAGUCAGCAUGGCAGUACGAUGCAAGUAGCA
rnacentral:lncRNA from 1 species